AAUCAGCGAAAAGAAGGAAAGAUGUAUAAUGAACUUUUGUUUUUCUUGAUUGUAGAAUGUGUCAAGAUGCGAUCUAUGUCCUCCCUAUGUGCCGUUGUCACGGUUCUACUUCAUGUUCUAUCCAGUUUUGCAUAUGGACAAAGACAGGAGCUAGGCAUGUUCUUCACCAGGCAUCCUCAACCCUUGGAUGCUCCAAUCGGCGAUGACGUAAAUUUUGAAUGCAAUUUAAAUCUCGGCGCAGACCGUUUCUCCUGGCAUCAUAGACCAUUGGGUGCAAAUAAGUGGUUGUCAGUUUUCCACACACUUAGUAAUGGUGACAAAACAUCUAGGCACGUGGUAAACUUCGAUAACGAAUCGAAAGCUGGAGAUUACCGUUGCAUUGCUUUUUAUGGUUCAAGUGGUUUAGCUUCUGACCCAGCAAGAUUAACGCUUGCUACAUUACAGAAGUUUUCCGAUAAGACCGACAUUAUUAUGAACGUUCCAGCAGGGAAUAUCGUGCCUAUCACCUGUCCUGUGCCUUACUCUGCCCCGGAGGCGAUAGUUCAAUUUUACAAAGAUAAUAAUCCUUUACAAAAUGUUAACAUAAUUGGUAGCAAAACCAUGGUUAUUGAAAAUGUUAAAGUAUCGAACAAUGGAUCUUAUCAUUGUACCGCUAGCAAUUAUAUAACUACACAACUAUAUUCAAGUAAUCAUAAAAUAAUUCUAAAUGUACUCACGAACAACAGCUUUUUAGCACCAUAUUUUAUUAAACAACCACAAACAGAGUAUAAAGUUUUACGAGGCAAAAACGUAACUUUGGAGUGCUUUGGAGCUGGUUAUCCAGUGCCCUCUGUCACAUGGAGUAGAUUAGGUGGAGUAUUGCCAUCGAACUCCAUUAAAACUCCGAUGGGUCUAACGAUAAUUAACGUUCAGUCAGCAGAUAGAGGGGAAUACGAUUGUGUAUGGAGUAGCAAAAAUAUGCACAUCAAGUCCGUAAUCAUACUAAAAGUUAUGGAAAUCCCAAAAGUAACUAAACCGCCGAAAGCGUCUACAUUCUCUGAGGGUGGAGAAUUGGAGCUUUCUUGCGCGGUAACUGGCGAACCACAGCCAAAAGUCGAAUGGUUAAUUAAUGGGGAAUCUUUGACUCCCGGCGAUGGAGUGGAAAUGAAUAUGGAAAUCAAAGGUUCCACACUUCUUAUUUCUGAAGUUGAAAAAAAACACGCUGGUAUUGUCCAGUGCGUUGCAAGCAACGAGUAUGGGUCUCAUUCUGGUUGUAAUUUAUUAAGAGUAAAUCCUAAACAGCACAUUGGAACGACUGAAAUUAGACAGGAUUAUGGUAUUUCUAAUCCAAGACACAAACAUAUCAGGGGAGGGGGAAGAAGAAGAAGUAAAGAGGGAAAGCGUAAAGGAACUGCGGUGUUAGUACCACCGAACCAGCCAAACGUCACAAGACUCUCAGACAUGUCUGUAAUGGUUAGGUGGUCCGUACCCGAGAACACAGGAUUGCCAAUUCAAUUUUUUAAAGUUCAGUAUCGAGAACUUGGACAGAAGAUGAAUGGUAAACAAGCUAAAUGGAUGACCGCAAACUCAGAAAUACCGAAACACAUACGGUCGUUUGAAGUAACCGAUUUACAACCUAAUCAUACUUAUCGGUUCAGAAUUGCUGCAGUUUACUCAAACAAUGAUAAUAAACUUAGUCCUAACUCCGUGCGUUUUCAUCUUAACAAGGAUGGUGGAAUUGAGAGCAACAAAAUGCCAAUACCUCUAUUAACAAACACUGAAGCCUUAGGUCCACAGGAAGUACUACUUAUUUGGCAGAAUCUGGAUAAAUCAGCAGAUAUUGAUGGUUUCUACGUUUACCAUCGAGCUUCUACCUCAGCUGGAGAUUAUAUAAAAACUACGGUUGAAGGGAAAGAUUCUUUUAAUAUAACUAUUUCCCAUUUACAACCGGAUACGACGUACGAAUUCAAAGUGCAGAGUUUUUCUGUGGAUGCAGCUUCAGAAUUUUCUCAAAUCCUUCGACAAAAAACAAAAAAAGCUAUGAAUACGAACGAACAUAACGAUCACGAUAAUCGAAGUGAUCAUGGCAGCAAUUUAACGUUAGACAGCCGAGUAAGGCCCGCGGAUGAUAAAAAUGUAAAUAUGUACGUAAUAAUUGGCGGAGUUCUUGGUGGGUCGACUUUGUUGGGUAGUGUAACUGUUGUUGCAGUAGUGUAUAAGAGAACGAAGCACAAACAAAGCCGAGAAUUAUCACAAAGUGAAGGAAAGCCGAUAACAAACGGAAGAGUAAUAAAUGGUGGAGUAACUGACUCGAAAAUUAAUAUAACAUCAAAUCCUCUUGCUGGUCUUGAUACAUCUGAAGAUAUAAUACAGCCUAAGACUAUUCGAUAUUAAGAAGACUAGUCUUUUGUAGCUUUAGCAAUUGGUCGCGUGCUGUCCUUUAAAUUCUACUUGUACACUCUCUGCACUCUCUCUGGAAGCCGCUUUUCUUUCGUAUUUUCUGAACACCACACACACCGGGCAACAGUCACCGAUGGAAAUGGCCUCGUUUCUUAACGGGCAAAACAACAGCAACAACAACCAUAACAACAGCG
rnacentral:misc_RNA from 1 species